UUAAGUGAUAAUUGCCUAGGAGAUACACCUGCUCUCAUGCCGAACACAGAAGUUAAGCCCUUGAACGCCGGAAGUAGUUGGGGGUUGCCCCCUGUGAGAUAAGGUAGUCGCUUAGC
rnacentral:rRNA from 1 species